GCCCUGGUGGCACAAUGUUUAAGUGCUUGGCUGCUGACCAAAAGGUUGGUGGUUCAAACCCACCCAGGGGCU
rnacentral:tRNA from 1 species